rnacentral:lncRNA from 1 species
AACAGUGUGCAACGUGCUCAAGUUGACACUUCAGAAAUGGAUUGUGCGUUGGGUCAUAUGGUGAGGGGUAAAUGCCAUUUCCCAGACACGACUGUAACCACUCACUGAGGAGGAAUGAGCACCAGGCACUUUGAAGUCUGAGGGAACCACAGAAAAGGUAUCUGUUUAGAUGGGCUGAGGGUGUUCCAGUCUAUAAAUGAUGCAGAGGGAUAUAACUACCACGAUGAAAAAUGAGGCUGAAAGGAGGAGCGGCAGUGGUCAAUAAUGCAAAUUUCACCCCUACAAUCAUUCCAUGGCUGCAAGCAUAUCUUGAUUUCUCCAAGUGAGACUAAGCUACAAACCAAUGGACUUGCUUCACUGCAACAGUGGAAAGAACAGCUGGAGAGGUGCCUGUGGCAUCAAAAGCAAAAAUUUUACAAGGGGGCUUUGCAGUCAGAUGGAUUGGGUGAGACUCCCCCAAACCACCGUACUGAUGAAUUCUUAUCACCCAGAGUUUUGCUGUGUGCAGUGCAGAAGGAGACCUCUUGGGGUCUGCACCAUGGUGAUGUGACUCUGUAUGUUCCUUCCUGA